GACGAACGCUGGCGGCGUGCAUAACACAUGCAAGUCGAACGGUAAGGCCCUUCGGGGUACACGAGUGGCGAACGGGUGAGUAACUCGUGGGUGAUCUGCCCUGCACUUCAGGAUAAGCCUGGGAAACUGGGUCUAAUACCGGAUAGGACCACUGCCUGCAUGGGGGGUGGUGGAAAGCUUUUGCGGUGUGGGAUGGGCCCGCGGCCUAUCAGCUUGUUGGUGGGGUGAUGGCCUACCAAGGCGACGACGGGUAGCCGGCCUGAGAGGGUGACCGGCCACACUGGGACUGAGAUACGGCCCAGACUCCUACGGGAGGCAGCAGUGGGGAAUAUUGCACAAUGGGCGCAAGCCUGAUGCAGCGACGCCGCGUGAGGGAUGACGGCCUUCGGGUUGUAAACCUCUUUCAGCACCGACGAAGCGCAAGUGACGGUAGGUGCAGAAGAAGGACCGGCCAACUACGUGCCAGCCGCCGCAGUAA
rnacentral:rRNA from 1 species